rnacentral:rRNA from 1 species
UACAGAGUUCAUGCCCGAAAGGGUAGACCUCCCACCCUUGUGUAUUAUUACUUUGUUGCUUUGGCGAGCUGCCUUCGGGCCUUGUAUGCUCGCCAGAGAAAACCAAAACUCUUUUUAUUAAUGUCGUCUGAGUACUAUAUAAUAGUUAAAACUUUCAACAACGGAUCUCUUGGUUCUGGCAUCGAUGAAGAACGCAGCGAAAUGCGAUAAGUAAUGUGAAUUGCAGAAUUCAGUGAAUCAUCGAAUCUUUGAACGCACAUUGCGCCCCUUGGUAUUCCGGGGGGCAUGCCUGUUCGAGCGUCAUUUCAACCCUCAAGCUUAGCUUGGUAUUGAGUCUAUGUCAGUAAUGGCAGGCUCUAAAAUCAGUGGCGGCGCCGCUGGGUCCUGAACGUAGUAAUAUCUCUCGUUACAGGUUCUCGGUGUGCUUCUGCCAAAACCCAAAUUUUUCUAUGGUUGACCUCGGAUCAGGUAGGGAUACCCGCUGAACUUAAGCAU